rnacentral:misc_RNA from 1 species
AAGGAUCAUUAAUAUUGCAAAAGCCGGCAGAUUUUUAAUCUGCUUGGUGUGAGCAAAUUCUACUCCUCUCCGUUUUUCAUGCGCAGCUUAAAACCCUGCAAAUUGCAAAGCGUGAUUGAGUAAAAACCACUUGUUAACCUUAAAUUUUUGCUUCAGUAGCACGUUGUUUAAUAUUACAUUAAGCUGCGAUAAGGCUGCUGACAGCUAACUAUUAAAACGUUUAUACAUGGUUUAGUCAUGAUGUCUGAUAACUGUUUGAAUACAUCAAUCAAGUUAAAACUUUCAGCAACGGAUCUCUUGGUUCUC